rnacentral:rRNA from 1 species
UGGGGAAUUUUGCACAAUGGGCGCAAGCCUGAUGCAGCGACGCCGCGUGAGGGAUGAAGGCCUUCGGGUUGUAAACCUUUUUCGCUCAUGGUCAAGCCGCAGCUUUGGGUUGUGGUGAGGGUAGUGGGUAAAGAAGCCCCGGCUAACUACGUGCCAGCAGCCGCGGUAAUACGUAGGGGGCUAGCGUUAUCCGGAUUUACUGGGCGUAAAGGGUGCGUAGGUGGUCUUUCAAGUCGGUGGUUAAAGGCUACGGCUCAACCGUAGUUAGCCUCCGAAACUGGAAGACUUGAGUGCAGGAGAGGAAAGUGGAAUUCCCAGUGUAGCGGUGAAAUGCGUAGAUAUUGGGAGGAACACCAGUAGCGAAGGCGGCUUUCUGGACUGCAACUGACACUGAGGCACGAAAGCGUGGGUAGCAAACAGG